GGGGACAUGGUCUAGUGGUAUGACGGAUCCUUAGCAUCGUUGAGUUCUCUGAACACACAUCAAGCUUGGAUCAGGUCCGGGGUUCGAUUCCCCGUGUCUCCA
rnacentral:tRNA from 1 species